rnacentral:rRNA from 1 species
CGCGUAGGCGGUUUGUACAGUCAGACGUGAAAUUCCCGGGCUCAACCUGGGGGCUGCGUUUGAUACGUGCGAGCUUGAGUUCGGAAGAGGGUCGUGGAAUUCCCAGUGUAGAGGUGAAAUUCGUAGAUAUUGGGAAGAACACCGGUGGCGAAGGCGGCGACCUGGUCCGAGACUGACGCUGAGGCGCGAAAGCGUGGGGAGCAAACAGGAUUAGAUACCCUGGUAGUCCACGCCGUAAACGAUGUGUGCUGGAUGUUGGGCAGCUUAGCUGUUCAGUGUCGUAGCCAACGCGAUAAGCACACCGCCUGGGGAGUACGGCCGCAAGGUUGAA